AGAAAUUGGAAAAUACAAAUUGAAGUUUCAGACAAAUUUGCUGGAUAUUUUGACAGCUGUAGUAUGGAUAAUACCAAGUCUGACAUGGUUGUUGUCGGUGAAAUAAAAUGUUCAGAAAUGAGAUGUGCUACUAGCUGUGGAAUGUCAAAGACUUGUAUGGGUUAUAAUUUCAACAGCGCCAUGAACAGAUGUGAACUUCUCUGGUUUGGAUCAGACGUUGUGACAGACAUACCACAUCACACUGAAGCCGGAUGGAAAUUCUACUGUAAAUGUUUCAAUGGGAAAACUGCCUGUCUUGGGUGUUAUUUCUAGAUGACUAAUUCAGAAGAAAACAGUCCUUGAUAAAGAUAUCAUUUGAAAUUAUUUUUUUUAAUUCUUUGCAUAAACUUAGUGAUUUAUUAUUGGAAUUUUAAAGACAGAUGUAAAUUAGCGAUGAUCUAAUAUAGUGAAUCCAUUUAGAAAAAAAACAAAACAAUAAAAUUAAUUUUACAUGCAACUUUAAAAAUCGAGAUCGGGUGGUCAGAGAAGGUAAGCGGCUCCAGGUACUGUUUUCCCUCAAAUCCUUCCUGCAAAAUAUUUAACGUCAAAGGCAUAACCCUUUCAGUGAAACCCGCAUGAUGUAAAUAUGUAUGCUCGUAUCGAAUUACAAUUGAGAUACGUCAAUAUCACACGAUGGAGUGGAGUGUUUCUGCUGGGGAAUGGGAAGUUAACAGUGGGUAAGGUGAAAUUAUCACAAUGUCACAGCUCUAUUUUGAAGUAUUCCUUCUGUGUCAAUAUUGAGAAAAAAAGAUCAAAACCUUUUUAUCUAAGUAGUAUCAUUAGUUUUAACUUCACUUGGAUUUAUGAGAUGCAAUAACAAAUUGUUAUGUCGGUAAUUGAGUGACAGGAUAUAUUCAAUAUAUCUUUAAGUGAUAUGUAAAGAACUUACAAGGUUUUGUUUUCUUCCUUUCAUUUUUUGUAUUAAUAUAUCUUAAAGACUGGGACUUCUCUUAAACUUAGUUUUAAUGUGCGUAUUGUUGUGCGGUUUUUUUAUAUAUUGGCUAGAGGUAUUGGGGAGGGUUGAGAUCUCAAACAAUAUGUUUAACCCCGCCGUAAUUUUGCGCCUGUCCCAAGCCAGGAGCCUCUGGCCUUUGUUAGUCUUGUAUGAUUUUUAAUUUAAGUUUCUUGUGUAUAAUUCGGAGUUUAGUAUGACGUCCAUUAUCACUUAACUAGUGUACAUAUUUGUUUAGGGGGCAGCUGAAGGACGCCUCCGGGUGCGGGAGUUUGGAAAUUAUUAUGAAACUAAGGUUUCAACUCCCUCAGGCAAAGUUGGCUUUAGAUGAAUUUGGCUAUUUAUUUUAGGUAUUUUUGACAUAUAUCUCUUCAACGAUUGAGAGCCUUCUAUGGUCGGGUUGUUGUCACUUUGACACAUUCCACAUCUCCAUUCUCAAUUUUAAUUCUACUAUAUGUAACUACAACCAGUAGGCGUGAACUCUAAGUAACCUUUUUUAUACAGGUUUUUGGUUGAAUAUCAAUCACCCAACAACACAUAUAUGUUAUCAAUUAUAACGUCGAACUUUAGGGAUCAGUUUUGAUAUUUAACAUGUUUAACAAUAAUAAUAACCCAAGUUUUAUAUUUUCGAUUUCUUUUUCAAACAGUAAAGUAGUAAAAAGUGUAGAUUCAACUGCUCUUUUAUGGUUACAAAAGUUAUCAAGACAAAAUUCAUAUACAUUUUUAGU